CAAUCAGUUUUCUAGCGGGUUUAACACUGCCUGGGCGAUUCACCAGGACUACCCGGCUGAAAAUUUCCAGAGGGUUACACCGUCAGGACAAGGAUUUCUCACUGCUCAACCGCCUGAGCUGACGGCCACGCAAGAAACAAGCGCCGCGGUAGCUGCGUUACUGGUUGUCCAGGGAUUAUCUGCGGGUGAAGCGGGGAGCGCACUAGGAUCGGGCGGUGUAGAAUCGGCUC